rnacentral:rRNA from 1 species
AUGGCCACCUGGCCGGCGACUCAGCCGUCGUUGCCAGACGGCGAACAGUGGGACUGGUCAGUGCAUCAGGAUAAUCUGCGCGCACAUCUGACGCGAGCGCAAGUCAAGCAUAAGAAGUUUGCUGAUCUAAACCGGGCUGAACGAGUCUUUCAGGUUGGAGAACAAGUGUUGCUGAAACUGCAACCGUACACACAGAAAUCUGUGGCAAGUCGUCCGUGUCCGAAGCUUGCUUUCAAGUUCUUCCGCCCCUUCUUCGUCCUCGCCAGAAUUGGACCAUCGGCAUACAAGUUGGAGCUCCAUGUGGACAGCAGAAUUCACCCAGUGUUUCACGUAUCGCAGUUGAAGCCGUUCACACCAAACUACAACCCAGUGUUUUCUGAACUUCCAGCAACCACCGACCUGUCGACACAAGAAACUUCUCCAGUGGCUAUACUGGACAGAAGGAUGAUGAAAAAGGGCAACACACCAGUGAUCCAACUGCAAGUAGAGUUGGAUACAACUCCACAGUCCAUCAUGUGGGAAGACUAUGACGUGCUCCGCAGGCGUUACCCGCAAGCUCGCAUCUGGGGAGAGGAAUCCAUGGAGGAAGGAGACUGCUCUCAAGGAGGGGAGAAUGUCAACAUGGCAGUGCCAGCUACCACCGCGUGA